AAGCUUUACAUUUGGACUUGGACGCAGGAACUUCAAGAGGAUGGAGUCACUUGUGGUAUUGAUGUGGACUUUCAGAAUCAUAAAGCUCAACUGGCAAGGGAUUGGGCAGGGAAAGUAAGACAUGUCUCUUCUCAUAAAGUCAGCAAAGGCAUUCCAUAACCACACAGAGCAGUCAGCACGUGUGUCAUCAGGCAGAAGUGGAAGUUUUGAUAUUGAGAAUCCCAGCUGCAUAUUUCUAGCAUGAGGGGCUUGCUGUCUGCUCAGUAAAAGAACAGACUGGAUCCAAGAAAAGAACACGGUCCUGUCCCUGACAGAAAUCCAAAUGUCUUCUAAUUAGAAUUCUACCAUACAACAAGAAGUAAUAGUAUUAACAAUACUUUACACGUGGAAUCUUUUGCAUCUAUCUACAAAUCUGCAAGGAAGGUUGUGCAAAAAAGGGACAUAAGCCACUUCCAGGUCAAUUCAUUAAAUUGUUGGUGCCAGACACUCCAACUCUGUACUUCCUGUCCUACAAGGAAG